rnacentral:lncRNA from 1 species
GGCGCUGGCAGCCUCUAGCCCUCUACACGCCGUCCCUCCUGCUCCUGCUCUCCACACGCCGCCGGAGAAACGCGGCGGAACGCCCAGCACGGGCUGCACGGCAGGUCGGCACUCGGUAGCACAUCCCUCCCGGUGGUCCGGCCCUCCGCCGUCCCAGCACGACAGCACUUCCGGCGACCAGGUCCUAGGCUCCCAGCGUCCGGCGGUCCCAGCAGUCCAGCACGACAGUGACAGCACUUCGGGACCACGGCUCCGCGCGUUCUGCUGUGCAGGUUCUAGCCUCUGCCGUGCUCACUGCCUCUGCCUCUGCCGUUCUGCUGUGCAGGUCACCUCCGCGCGUUCUCCCAGGCUCACUGCCUCUGCCGUGCAGGUUCUAGCGUUCUGCUGUCCACGGCUCCGCGCGUCCAGGAGGAUGUGUAUUCCAAGUUUUGGUAUUCCAAGUUUACUGCCUUGUUGGUAUUCAAAGUUAAAUGUACC